rnacentral:rRNA from 1 species
GUUGAAGCACCGGUUCCUGUACGAUCACCGAAGUUAAACAACGUUGAGCCUGGUCAGUACCUAGAUGGGUGACCUCUUCGGAAUACCAAGU